rnacentral:rRNA from 1 species
UACGAAGGGGGCUAGCGUUGUUCGGAAUCACUGGGCGUAAAGGGCGCGUAGGCGGCUUUAUAAGUCGGGGGUGAAAGCCUGUGGCUCAACCACAGAAUUGCCUUCGACUACUGUAGAGCUUGAGACCGGAAGAGGUAAGUGGAACUGCGAGUGUAGAGGUGAAAUUCGUAGAUAUUCGCAAGAACACCAGUGGCGAAGGCGGCUUACUGGUCCGGUUCUGGACGCUGAGGCGCGAAAGCGUGGGGAGCAAACAGG